CAGUAGCCACGGGAACACGAAGGUCCCGAGCGUUGUUCGGAAUCACUGGGCGUAAAGGGAGCGUAGGCGGCGUGGUAAGUCAGAUGUGAAAUCCCGGGGCUCAACCCCGGAACUGCAUCCGAUACUGCCAUGCUAGAGGAUUGGAGAGGUAGCUGGAAUUCUUGGUGUAGCAGUGAAAUGCGUGGAGAUCAAGAGGAGCACUCGUGCGAAAGCGAGCUACUGGACAAUAUCUGACGCUGAGGCUCGAAGGCCAGGGUAGCGAAAGGGAUUAGAUACCCCCGUAGUCCCUGUCUCUUAUACA
rnacentral:rRNA from 1 species